AACGAACGCUGGCGGCAGGCUUGACACAUGCAAGUCGAACGCAUCCUUCGGGGUGAGUGGCAGACGGGUGAGUAACGCGUGGGAACGUGCCCUUCAGUUCGGGAUAACCCAGGGAAACUUGGGCUAAUACCGGAUACGGGCGAGAGCAGAAAGAUUUAUCGCUGAAGGAUCGGCCCGCGUCUGAUUAGCUAGUUGGUGGGGUAAUGGCCCACCAAGGCGACGAUCAGUAGCUGGUCUGAGAGGAUGAUCAGCCACAUUGGGACUGAGACACGGCCCAAACUCCUACGGGAGGCAGCAGUGGGGAAUAUUGGACAAUGGGCGCAAGCCUGAUCCAGCCAUGCCGCGUGAGUGAUGAAGGCCUUAGGGUUGUAAAGCUCUUUCGUCCGGGACGAUAAUGACGGUACCGGAAGAAGAAGCCCCGGCUAACUUCGUGCCAGCCGCCGCAGUAA
rnacentral:rRNA from 1 species